CAUUUUUUCAUGGACCAUGUUAAGACAAUUUUUUGAAGAGGACUCUCUCUGCCAUAAGCUCCUGAUCAACUGGGGUUGAGAGGACAUCAAGGAGCUGUUUAUUCCCCCCAGGAUCCUGCCUCUGUCUCCAAGGCAGGGAGGUAGGUGGGGACUGUCAAGGGCCUGCUGAAGAGGGAGGCAGGCCUGUGGGCUUGAGUUGUUGGCAGAAUGCGGAGGGUGGGAGGCCUGAGACGGAUACAUCAAACUGUGGGUCAUUUAUCUAAUUAUGUCAUCAGAAAUGCAGGUGAAAAAGGAUGCACAAAGCUAGUUUAUGUUUAUUUAUUUUUUAGUUUAAGUUUCAGGAUACAUCUGCAGAACAUGCAGUUUUGUUAUAUAGGUAAACGUGUGCAUGGUGGUUUGCUACACCCAUUGACCUGUCCUCAAAGUUCCCUCCCCUUGCCCCCCACCCCCUGGUAGGUCGUGGUGUGUGUUUAUAAGGAUGAUUUCCUUCUCUCUAGCAAGGCUUCCUUGUGACAGGCGGAGGCCUCUUCCCAUGGCCAGGUUCCUGCUUGCAGCUCUUCUCAUUCCUGGCUCCUGCCUUCUCCAGGGCCCACGCUGGCUGCUGUAUCCUCCACCACGCUGGUUCCUGUGUCCUUCACCACACUGGCUCCUGUAUCCUCCACCAUGCUGGCUCCUGUAUCCUUCACCAUGCUGGCUGCUGUAUCCUCCACCAUGCUGGCUGCUGUAUCCUUCACCACGCUGGCUCCUGUAUCCUUCACCUCGGUCACCCUGGGCCCCUUCCUGUAGUUCAAGCAUCCAGAGAAGCCAGCCCACACCUCUGUGUUCCUGGUGACCAGGAAAGAAACUCCAUGUCCAGCUCCUGGUGACCAGGAAAGAAACUCGAUGUCCAGCUCCUGGUGACCAGGAAAGAAACUCGAUGGGCUGGCCCUCCCAGGCUGCGUUCUAGUUUCUGGUGACUAGGAAAGAAACUCGAUGUCUAGUUUCUGAUGACUAGGAAAGAGACUCAAUGGGCCGGCUCCCCCAGGCCACUUGGCCAGGCGGGGUCCACCUGGAC
rnacentral:lncRNA from 1 species